UACGAAGGGGGCUAGCGUUGCUCGGAAUCACUGGGCGUAAAGGGCGCGUAGGCGGCCAUUCAAGUCAGGGGUGAAAGCCUGUGGCUCAACCACAGAAUUGCCUUUGAUACUGUUUGGCUAGAGACCGGAAGAGGUAAGUGGAACUGCGAGUGUAGAGGUGAAAUUCGUAGAUAUUCGCAAGAACACCGGUGGCGAAGGCGGCAUCCUGGACCGGUAUUGGACGCUGAGGCGCGAAAGCUAAGGGGAGCAAACGGG
rnacentral:rRNA from 1 species